rnacentral:hammerhead_ribozyme from 1 species
AUUCACCUGACGAGUCCAAAUGGGACGAAGCGCAUGUCCUGGAU